rnacentral:pre_miRNA from 1 species
GCCCCGGCUCCCCGCACCCCCAAUCGGGGCUGCCGCCACCAGUGGCGGUGGCGGAGGCGGGGGCAGCGGC